GCCGGUGUGGCUCAAUGGUAGAGCACCUGCCUUGUAAGCAGGUGGUUGCGGGUUCGAUUCCCGCCGCCGGCUCCA
rnacentral:tRNA from 1 species